UACGUAGGGGGCUAGCGUUGUCCGGAAUCAUUGGGCGUAAAGAGCGUGUAGGCGGCCAGGUAGGUCAGCUGUGAAAACUCGAGGCUCAACUUCGAGCUGUCGGUGGAAACUAUCUGGCUAGAGUCCGGAAGAGGAGAGUGGAAUUCCUGGUGUAGCGGUGAAAUGCGCAGAUAUCAGGAAGAACACCCGUGGCGAAGGCGGCUCUCUGGGACGGUACUGACGCUGAGACGCGAAAGCGUGGGGAGCGAACAGG
rnacentral:rRNA from 1 species